rnacentral:rRNA from 1 species
UACGGAGGGUGCAAACGUUGCUCGGAAUCAUUGGGCGUAAAGCGCACGUAGGCGGGUCAUCAAGUCGGAUGUGAAAUCCCUCGGCUUAACCGAGGACGUGCAUUCGAAACUGAUGGUCUUGAGUACGAAAGAGGAUCGCGGAAUUCCCGGUGUAGAGGUGAAAUUCGUAGAUAUCGGGAGGAACACCAGUGGCGAAGGCGGCGAUCUGGGUCGAUACUGACGCUGAGGUGCGAAAGCGUGGGGAGCGAACAGG